rnacentral:rRNA from 1 species
GACGUAGGGCGCGAGCGUUGUCCGGAAUCAUUGGGCGUAAAGAGCGUGUAGGCGGUCCGGUAAGUCGGCUGUGAAAGUCCAGGGCUCAACCCUGGGAUGCCGGUCGAUACUGCCGGAUUAGAGUUCGGAAGAGGCGAGUGGAAUUCCCGGUGUAGCGGUGAAAUGCGCAGAUAUCGGGAGGAACACCAGUGGCGAAGGCGGCUCACUGGUCCGGUACUGACGCUGAGGUGCGAAAGCGUGGGGAGCAAACAGGG